GAUGAACGCUGGCGGCGUGCUUAACACAUGCAAGUCGAACGAAGCACCUUGAUUCGAUUCUUCGGAUGAAGAUCUUGGUGACUGAGUGGCGGACGGGUGAGUAACGCGUGGGUAACCUGCCUCAUACAGGGGGAUAACAGUUAGAAAUGACUGCUAAUACCGCAUAAGACCACAGCACCGCAUGGUGCAGGGGUAAAAACUCCGGUGGUAUGAGAUGGACCCGCGUCUGAUUAGGUAGUUGGUGGGGUAACGGCCUACCAAGCCGACGAUCAGUAGCCGACCUGAGAGGGUGACCGGCCACAUUGGGACUGAGACACGGCCCAAACUCCUACGGGAGGAAGCAGUGGGGAAUAUUGCACAAUGGGGGAAACCCUGAUGCAGCGACGCCGCGUGAGCGAUGAAGUAUUUCGGUAUGUAAAGCUCUAUCAGCAGGGAAGAAAAUGACGGUACCUGACUAAGAAGCACCGGCUAAAUACGUG
rnacentral:rRNA from 1 species